rnacentral:lncRNA from 1 species
AACCUUUGGGGAAAACUGCUAGGAGAUUAUUUUUUCUUUUUUUUCCUCCCCCCCCCCCCCCCUUCCGUUCUUCCGUUCUACUUUUCGCUCGGAAAGUUUUUAAACUUCCUCACCCCGGUGCGUCUGUAUCCCGGCCGAAAGGCGUCCCAGUUCCCGUGUAACGUUUCCUGGCGGGGUCGACGGCCGGGCCCCAGAGCAGCAGCGCGAAAUAAAAGAAACGGGCUCACACUCUACGGCUUGCUCUCUGCCUGCCUGCCGGCCGGCUGGAGAGGAACCAGGGAGCCUGGUUUUGGGAGGGUCUCCGGUCAGGCCCCCCGUCUCCCCGCCCUCCCCACCUCCGGCCCCUCCCCGGCCCCGGGCCGGCUCUGGGCCCGGCUCCCCGCGCUUGGGAUCUCCCUCCCCUCUCCUCCGCUCCCGACCGGGAUAGUUCCUGACCGUCCAAAGCAGCCGACUUUUUAUUCUGUUUGUACCGAAGCAAAGGGAAACACAAAAAUCAAAACCACGGCGCGGACACUGCUGUUUUCUUAUUUGAAGGAGGCAUUUCGGCCUAGUUCUUCCCCUGUGCUGCCCCCAGCUCCUCCCACCUCCCCAACCCGCCCCAGCCCCGUCCUUAAGAAGAUGCUUCCAACCCCUGGCGGGGGGGGAGGGCGGGGGGAGGGGAGAGGAGCCUCCCCUCCCCCCCCCCCCCCCCCCGGGGGGUUGGGGGACAGGAGACCCUCCCGCCCGGCCCCCGUCCGACGGGGGGCGGGGGAGCGAGGGGGUCCCGGGUGGCGACAGACGGACGCGGGCCCCCGCCGGGCACGUGAAACCCACGCCGUGGAGAAGCCGGGUCGGCCCUCCGUGUUCUCGCCGCCCCGGCCCGCCCCGGGCCCGGAGACCACCCGGCCUCUGAUCUCCCCGCCCUCCUUCCCGCUGCACGCCGACAGCCCGCCGUGGGUCGGGAGGCAGAGACGCAACAGCGGCCGCCUCCCCCCCCCCCCCCCGUGUCUUCCUCUUCCUCCUCUCCCCGGGUACCGCCGCUGUUGUCGCCUGGAUUUAUUCCUUUCAGGAGGAUGA